CCUACGGAUGGCAGCAGUGGGGGAUAUUGCACAAUGGGGGAAACCCUGAUGCAGCAACGCCGCGUGAGUGAAGAAGUAUUUCGGUAUGUAAAGCUCUAUCAGCCGGGAAGAGAAUGACGGUACCUGACUAAGAAGCCCCGGCUAACUACGUGCCAGCAGCCGCGGUAAUACGUAGGGGGCGAGCGUUAUACGGAUUUACUGGGUGUAAAGGGAGCGUAGACGGCUGGUCAAGGCUGAAGUGAAAGCCCGGGGCUUAACCCCGGAACGGCUUUGGAAACUGAGCAGCUAGAGUGCAGGAGAGGCAGGCGGAAUUCCUAGUGUAGCGGUGAAAUGCGUAGAUAUUAGGAGGAACACCAGUGGCGAAGGCGGCUUGCUGGACAGUAACUGACGUUGAGGCUCGAAAGCGUGGGGAGCAAACAGGAUUAGAUACCCGAGUAGUC
rnacentral:rRNA from 1 species